rnacentral:rRNA from 1 species
GACGAACGCUGGCGGCGUGCUUAACACAUGCAAGUCGAACGGAAAGGCCCUGCUUUUGUAGGGUGCUCGAGUGGCGAACGGGGGAGUAACACGUGAGUAACCUGCGCUUGACUGUGGGGUAACUUCAGGGAAAUGGAGCUAAUACACGGUAGAAGCACCUGCUGCAUGGGGGGGAUGGGAGAGUUUCGGUGGUUGAGGACGGAGUGGCGGUUAAUCCGCGUGUUGGUGAGGUAGUGGAGUACAGAUGCUUUGAGGGGCAGCCGGACUGGGAGGGUGACAGGCCCCAUUGGGCCUGAGGAACGGCCCAUACUCCUACGUGAGGCAGGAGUGGGAAUCAUUGCGCAAUGGGCGGAAGCCUUAUGCAGGAACGCCGCGUGCGAGAUCACUGCCUGUGGGGUGUAACCCUCGUUCGCCUGGGACGAAGCGUGAGUGACGGUAAUUGGUAAAGAAGCACCGGCUAACUACGUG